UGGAUUUCGACAUUAUGAAUUUAGGGUUAUCGUUCGAUCUCCCUAUUCCUUUUUAUCUCGAUGCGUCAGUUGGUAUCAGAGCCAGGUUUUGCCUGACUCGAGGUGUCUCCAAUGGCUCGUCCAAAGGAAAAAGAUAGGACCUAUGGAGACGGGGAACCAAUCACUCUCAAUGAAUUUGAUGUUGCAGUUGUUCCAUACUUCAUGGGGAUUGACUGCAUUGAAGGCUUUCUCCAAUGGGUUACAGAUGUAGAGGAAAUGUUUAAUUCAAUAAUGAUACCAGAAGAGUAGAUGGUG
rnacentral:lncRNA from 1 species